rnacentral:rRNA from 1 species
CAUAGGUUAAUGAGGCGAACCGGGGGAACUGAAACAUCUAAGUACCCCGAGGAAAAGAAAUCAACCGAGAUUCCCCCAGUAGCGGCGAGCGAACGGGGAGGAGCCCAGAGCCUGAAUCAGCAUGUGUGUUAGUGGAAGCGUCUGGAAAGGCGCGCGAUACAGGGUGACAGCCCCGUACACAAAAGCGCAUGUGCUGUGAGCUCGAUGAGUAGGGCGGGACACGUGGUAUCCUGUCUGAAUAUGGGGGGACCAUCCUCCAAGGCUAAAUACUCCUGACUGACCGAUAGUGAACCAGUACCGUGAGGGAAAGGCGAAAAGAACCCCGGCGAGGGGAGUGAAAAAGAACCUGAAACCGUGUACGUACAAGCAGUGGGAGCACCCUUUGGGGUGUGACUGCGUACCUUUUGUAUAAUGGGUCAGCGACUUAUAUUCUGUAGCAAGGUUAACCGAAUAGGGGAGCCGGAGGGAAACCGAGUCUUAAUUGGGCGUUAAGUUGCAGGGUAUAGACCCGAAACCCGGUGAUCUAGCCAUGGGCAGGUUGAAGGUUGGGUAACACUAACUGGAGGACCGAACCGACUAAUGUUGAAAAAUUAGCGGAUGACCUGUGGCUGGGGGUGAAAGGCCAAUCAAACCGGGAGAUAGCUGGUUCUCCCCGAAAGCUAUUUAGGUAGCGCCUCGUGAAUUCAUCUCCGGGGGUAGAGCACUGUUUCGGCUAGGGGGCCAUCCCGGCUUACCAACCCGAUGCAAACUGCGAAUACCGGAGAAUGUUAUCACGGGAGACACACGGCGGGUGCUAACGUCCGUCGUGAAGAGGGAAACAACCCAGACCGCCAGCUAAGGUCCCAAAGUCAUGGUUAAGUGGGAAACGAUGUGGGAAGGCCCAGACAGCCAGGAUGUUGGCUUAGAAGCAGCCAUCAUUUAAAGAAAGCGUAAUAGCUCACUGGUCGAGUCGGCCUGCGCGGAAGAUGUAACGGGGCUAAACCAUGCAC